rfam:Lachnospiraceae bacterium 28-4 genomic scaffold acPFn-supercont1.2, whole genome shotgun sequence.
UUACGCAGAGAAAUGAGAUUUUCUUAAUAUUCUGUUCCAAAAACAGCAAUUUGGUGACCUGGAUGUCACCAAAAGCGCGCAAUGAGCCCGGAUGGCGAAUCGCGCGCGGUUGCGUACGAUUGAUACUCUUUUACCGGAAUAUUUAGAAAAUCCAUUUCCCGAAGCAG